rnacentral:lncRNA from 1 species
GAGAGAGAAGGAGGCUGGAGGCAAGAAGAGUGUCCCUGGAGAGCUGAGUUUGCCUGGAAGGGGGCGAGUGCCUGGACAACGUCCCUGGGAGCUGCGGCACCAGGCCGGGCGCUGGGUUUUGGCUCUUCCGGGCUGUGGGGCUGCACCGCUGCCUGCCCCGAUGCCCUGCCAGGGCUCAGGCGGCAGCACAGCCGGGAGAGGGAGAUCGGCUGCCGGGGCCGCCUGCGACCUUCUCGUCGGCCUUCUGUCUCCGCAGGGAGAAAACUCCUUUGGGCCCUUUGGCUCCAUGGUGGGACUGCUGGCGCCUUUGGUCUGCGACUCGCUGGCCACGUCCCGCCAGCAGGCAGGAGCCUGCCUCGGCCACCUCCUCCGCAUACGAGCUCCCAGGAGACCAUGCAGCGGUCAGACGGCAGCAGUGAACGUUUCCCCACUCUCAGCUGGUGCCGUUCCGGGUGUGCAGAUAAGUGGUGCUGGGGAACCGGGCUAGUCCUCCCUGGGGCUUUGUGGGGCAGGGGCUGAAGUGUCCCCACUGAGCGGGAGCUGCUGUCGCGCAGCAGGGAAGCAGGCUGUGGGAGCUGGGGAGCGGGGGUCUGUGGGGCCCUGUGCAGUCUCUGCCUGGGGGCUGCAGUCCCUCCUGCCCUCUGGCCAGCUGCAGGCAGUGGUACUGGGACCCUGCUACCUGCCUGGUUGCUCAGCUACUGAGGCCAGGGAGCUCAUACCACUCCUGUAGCUGAGUGUCAGUGCGGGUUUGGGGCAGCAGCCACUUGUUCCUGGAGGAUCCUGAACAGCACAGCAUCUGCAGUUACUGCUCUGCUUGCGGCUGCCUCCAAGCACAAACAGCGCCAGGCCUGCUGGAGGAGAAAAGCCCUUCCUGCCUGCCUGGGCUGUCCUCCGUGCAGAGGUGGUGAAGCAGCCACUGCCCCUGGUCUUGGGGGAUUGGGCUGCAGGGACAGUCACUGCUGGCAGAGUGAAAUAAAGUCCGAACRGCCAGAGCCUAGUGACUGCCC